rnacentral:rRNA from 1 species
UACGGAGGGGGGCUAGCGUUGUUCGGAAUUACUGGGCGUAAAGCGCACGUAGGCGGCUUUGUAAGUUAGAGGUGAAAGCCCGGGGCUCAACUCCGGAACUGCCUUUAAGACUGCAUCGCUAGAAUUGUGGAGAGGUAAGUGGAAUUCCGAGUGUAGAGGUGAAAUUCGUAGAUAUUCGGAAGAACACCAGUGGCGAAGGCGACUUACUGGACACAUAUUGACGCUGAGGUGCGAAAGCGUGGGGAGCAAACAGG